AAAACGUAGCCUUCACUCUCUCCAACCAGUGAAACUUCCUCUUCUUCCACACCAAGUCCACCAUGGAUGAUCGCGGAGAUCCAAUCUUCCCUCUCACAUUCGCCUUUCUCUCUCUUUCUUUCUCAAAUCUUGAGGCCCAUCAAGAAAAAGAUUCCACCUUCCCAGCAAUUCUUCGCUCAAAGAAUCUACAGGAGCAACCUUCAAUCUGCUACCUCCUCAAUUUCAUCCUGGUGUGUCUUGAUUGGCAGCCUAGAGAGGUAAAUAUGCAAUUUGUUUUUCUAAAUCAGCGAAAUUGGUGUACUGAAACCUGGGAUUGUUAAUAUUUUUUAUUUUUUAUUUUUUAAUAUUGAGUUUUAGGUUACAAUAUCUGCCUGCGAUUUAUACUGGUUUUCAGUUUUCUAGUUUCUAGUUAGACAAACCAUUUGCAGAUAAAGAGAGGAUUAUAUAUUAAUUCUGCACUAUUUGGCGGCUGCAUUUUUCACUGAUGAAGCAAAU
rnacentral:lncRNA from 1 species